CAUUUCCCUCCUUUCUCACAUAGGUACACAUCUUUCUGAAUCACCAGAUCCAAAUCAAAGACAACCAGCCGCACAGGAUAGGAGCGAUGAUGAGUGAAGCCUCGAUGCUAUCCUCCCCGGCGGCAACCUACUCUGGCCUCUGGCUGUCCUCGCCCUCGUCGGUAGCUGAGAAGGCGCGGAAGGAGAGGAACUCUUUUGGUAAGGAGGAUGUUGCCGAUGUCGCCGUUGCGCCGAACACGGAUGCAGAUCUGAGGGAGCCGGAUGUGGUGAAGCUUAGAGGGAGCACGCUGCCGAAGGUCCGAGGGAGCUAGCCCCCGACGCAGUGGAGUUGGCGGUCAUGCGUUGAGGAUAUUGACUCGUAGCUCUAGGCUCUGAAGACUACCAAGCUGAGAGGAGAGCAACAUGCAACAGACAGUAAUCCUGUGGGUCUAGGGUUCAGCACUUCAAAACUGACGACCAUUGUGAGAAUACAUAGGAGGUGCUAACUAAGAUGAUGAUUGAAGGUGACAAUCUAGAGAAGGUGCUGCAGGAAUUGGAGGAGAUGAAGAACUUCAUCAAGACAAUGCAUAGCACUUAUCAUGCUAUUAGGAUUUAAAAAGAAAAUUCAUAUAAGAGUUAGUUUGUAAUCAAUUUGUCUAUAUACUGAAAUGACAAUAUUACAAGCAAACACAAUGUGUAAAAUGCCUCUGCUUCUUCCA